UUCACAGGAACAUUAUUCAUGACUGCCCACAGUGGAAACUUCCUGAUACGUUAAAUGUUCACCAAAUGUAAUGGACAUAUAAUUUGUGACAUAGAAGGAAAACUAUAUAGCUUUGAAAAUGAUUAAUACACAAUUAAACACAACAGUAUACAUUUCACAAAGAAGCUUGAGUACAAAAGAGAACCUAAUUUUUCACUUAAAUUUAUGUAAUCUGUUUUCUAGUCAGUAUAAUGUCAGCAUAAUGAUUACCUUCUGGGGGGAUUAAGACUGGAAAAGAGGCUCAAAAUGGGCCUUAUAUCAUAGGUAAUACUCUUUCUUGAAAUGAAUGCCAUACAUGGUGUGCUAUCUUUGAAAAUUUAUUCAGGUUUACACUGAUAUAUUUACAUUUCUGUGUAAGUAUUAAAUAUUAAAAUUCCUAAAAGUUUAAAAAUGCAUGGCUUUGUGAUAGACAUUUAUCUUAAUGAUAUUGUUGAGCAUGUAUACAAAGCUGUGUAUUCGUGUGUGUGUGGGUGGGUGGGUGCAUGCACUGUGAAUUAAAAUUUGGAGAGAACACUCAUACCCACUAAAUGAUUGUUUAAAUAAAUUGUGGGGGAGUUAUUAAGUGAUUUGCUAUAGUCCUAUUAAGGUGAAUAUGGCAAUCUGUUUUAUGCUUCUCAAUGAGAAUAAUAGGUCAUAGGCAUACAUGCAAGGGACUGGCAGAACCACAGUGAGAGAGAUAGAAAAAUACAAAAAUAUUAGUAGAGAUUUAUCUGGCAACUUCAUAGCUGAUAAUUUUCCACUUAGCUCUAUUUUAAAUAUCUGAAUAGUUCCUGUAUGAUUUUGUUUGAGUAUUAAUUUGAUUUUAAUAUCUUAUAAGCUGGAAGUCAUGCUGUUUAUUCAACAAAACUCAUUGUAUAUACAUUUAUCACAGUGAACCAUGGAAUUUGUACAAGGUCAGAACUCAAUAAAUACUCACUUACUGCCUGACUAAAAAGCCAUAAUAAGGGAUAAUCUCUCAUCCUCAUCCAUAUAGUUUAAUAUAUAUCAUCAAUAAGGGCAUUUCUGUGUUCACCAGUUGUACAGAGACAACUACUGAAAAUGUGCAUUUGUGCAUGUGCCUUUUGUGUAGGAGAGUUACAUAGUAGAGCUUAAAGGCAUUUUUGUUAAUUUAAAUGAGAGGGAGACAUGCAAUUGAGAAGAGACAAGAAAGGUGAUGUCUCCAGUUGUUGAAUGGUCUGUGGACAUUUCUUUUCAAGCCUAUGAACAUUGUGUUAAUUUCAUUAGACAUUUUAUCUGAUGUGCAGGCUUCUUGUCUGAUUUUGUGAAGGUCACAUAAAUCCUCACUCAUUCAUAGUGAGGAGACAACCUGCCAAGGUUUUCACAACCCAGGCAGGUGGUUGGUGACAGAAUGCUGAGAGAGCUGAAGACUAGAAUUGUAAUUGGCUGCUGAUUUUGCAUGCAAGCCUCAAAUUCUCAAUUUUGUGCUUCCUGUCUGGGAAUGACUUUACAAAAACAAGAAAUGCUAGAAAAAUCCAUAGUUUUUGAACAUUUUGUGUGUGUGUGUGUGUGUGUAGAGCAGUAAGAGAGGAUUAAAAAUAUAUUUUUUUCAAGACAUAAGAACCAGGACUUGGCCUUUCACAGAAAUAGCAGUUUGAUGUUUUGUGCAAAUUAACUUAUGUAGCAUAAGAAGAAAUAAUAGUUUUGGCACAGGGGCUAGAUGAAUUGAAUAACAAAAUGGAAAGGCAUAGUAAAUGAAUGGCUAUUCUCUAGAUUACAGAUUAUCCAGGCUUUUAUGAUCUCUUCUCGUAACUCUUAGUCUUUUACUCAUUCACCACACAACUAGAAAAAUUUAGAUGAAAUUAAAAAAAAAAAUGAUGGACGCUAAAUCAGCUUCAUUUAACUGCUUGCUUGCUGUGAUCUAUUUUAGAAAGUGAACCAAGUGAUACCUCAAAGCAGUUGACUUAAUUGGAGAACUAUCUGUAGAUCUGUAAUUUAGGUUUUGUUUUUUGUUUUUGCCCUUCACAGUGCCAUUUACCUUAAGUGUAUGUUUAAGCAUCACUGUGAUAAAACCACGUUAUUUACCACUUGUUAUUCUGAGCUUUAUAGCUCAGUGGGCCGGGGGGAAGGGAGGGAGUGUGGAUUUGACUUAAUGAAAUAGUCUGAGGAACUGAAGUGCAUGACCUACAGGUCCAUGUGUUGAAUGAGACCAUAGAUAGGUUUGGUAAUGAGUUCAGUGCCAGGUUAGGUGAGAGGUGACACUAGGCCCUAAUGCUUGGCUAGAGUGUAUUCAACUGGGCACACUCUCAGACCCCUGAGGUUUAUGCUGGUAAGCAUUCCAACAUGCUUAUGAAUUUCUAAUUAUGGUUCAGAAAAUAAAUAACCAACCGACAUGGUAGAAUGGUACCAUAUCUCCUCUGGUGGUAGAACUUUGAUACAGAGAUCCUGGUAUAGAAGCAAUUAAAGUGAGAGAUCUUCACCUUCUAAUUGCAGAAGGUCUUAAAUAACAUAAUAUGGCAUGAAAAGAUGAGAGGGCUGAGUUAUAAGUAUUUGACUUUUUACCUUCUCUUCCUACUCUCUAUUGUACCAUUUCUUGGAUUAAAAUUAAUCUUUUUCACAGGGUCAAUAUUGUGGACUUUUCCCUACAUCAGCCAGAAUCUAUAUCCUGAAAAAUAAGUAAAUAGAAUCUAGAGACCCUAAAUUGAGAUAUAUAUAUAGUAAAAAACUGAGAUGGCAGAGAAGGGGAAAGAAGAAGCAAAAAUCUUUGAAAACUGAGUCUCAGAGAAGAGUUUAGGUGAGAAGUUUAAAGAACAUUGGAAUGAAAGCAUUUGGAUCAUGCCUGACUAUAAGAACCAUUGAAAAUGGGAGAUGGCAAAUGUUUCAGAAGUUUAAUGACAAUGAUAAGAUGGUUUUUAAUCUACAAGUAAGUCAAUUUGGGGGACCGCAAUGUAUGGAAACUGAGUUAGAAGGGAUUUCAACAAAUGACUUGUAGGCAAAUAACUUAUACAACCUGACUGCAUGAAAAUUCUGGAAUUUGUU
rnacentral:lncRNA from 1 species